rnacentral:tRNA from 1 species
GAGAGAGGCUUGCUAGCAAUGAAGACUGCUAAUCCUCAUCCCCCCGGUUGAAAUCCGGGGCUCACUUA